CCUACGGGUGGCAGCAGUGAGGAAUAUUGGUCAAUGGGCGCGAGCCUGAACCAGCCAAGUCGCGUGAGGGAUGACGGCCCUACGGGUUGUAAACCUCUUUUGCCGGGGAGCAACGGGCGCCACGUGUGGCGCCACUGAGAGUACCCGGGGAAAAAGCAUCGGCUAACUCCGUGCCAGCAGCCGCGGUAAUACGGAGGAUGAGAGCGUUAUCCGGAUUUAUUGGGUUUAAAGGGUCGUCAGGCGGAUAGUUAAGUCAGUGGUCAAAUUUGGGGGCUAAACACCUUCCCGCCAUUGAAACUGGCGCUCUUGAGUGGAAGAGAGGUAUGCGGAAUGCGUGGUGUAGCGGUGAAAUGCAUAGAUAUCACGCAGAACCCCGAUUGCGAAGGCAGCAUGCCGGCUUCCGACUGACGCUGAAGCACGAAAGCGUGGGGAUCGAACAGGAUUAGAUACCCCAGUAGUC
rnacentral:rRNA from 1 species